GCUGUCUAAGAUAGCCAUGCACGUCUAGUACAAACUAAAUGAUGGUGAAACUGCAAAUGGCUCAUUAUCAACGGUUAUGAUGUACCCGGGAGUUCCGAUGGAUAUUUCCAGUAACACUAGAACUAAUACAUGUCCCUGCGUUUAUUAGUUUCGCACAGUCCGUCGCUGAGUCAUGGUAAACAGUUGAUCGACUCGACGUCCCGGAACAGUUUCCGCCCCAUCAGCUUCGAUGGUUGGGUAUUGGCCUACCAUUGCAACAACGGGUAACGAGGAAUUAGGGUUUGAUUUCGGAGAGGGAGCCUGAGAAACGGCUACCACAUCUACGGAUGGCAGCAGGCGCGCAAAUUACCCAAUGCAGACACUGUGAGGUAGUGACGAGAAAUAAUAAAGCGGGACUUCUGUUUCGCUAUUAUAAUGAGGAAUAACCAAAGGUCAUUCCGAUUAGCAACUGAUGGGAAAGUCUGGUGCCAGCAGCCGCGGUAAUACCAGCGUCAGUAGCA
rnacentral:rRNA from 1 species